rnacentral:rRNA from 1 species
UGGGGAAUAUUGGACAAUGGGGGAAACCCUGAUCCAGCAAUGCCGCGUGAGUGAAGAAGGCCUUAGGGUUGUAAAGCUCUUUUGGCAGGGAAGAUAAUAACGGUACCCGCAGAAUAAGCUCCGGCUAACUUCGUGCCAGCAGCCGCGGUAAUACGAAGGGAGCUAGCGUUGUUCGGAAUCACUGGGCGUAAAGCGCACGUAGGCGGACUUUCAAGUCAGGGGUGAAAUCCCGGGGCUCAACCUCGGAACUGCCUUUGAUACUGUUGGUCUCGAGUCCGGAAGAGGUGAGUGGAAUUCCUAGUGUAGAGGUGAAAUUCGUAGAUAUUAGGAAGAACACCAGUGCCGAAGGCGGCUCACUGGUCCGGUACUGACGCUGAGGUGCGAAAGCGUGGGGAUCAAACA